AUUGAACGCUGGCGGCAGGCCUAACACAUGCAAGUCGAACGAGUGGCGGACGGGUGAGUAAUGUCUGGGAAACUGCCCGAUGGAGGGGGAUAACUACUGGAAACGGUAGCUAAUACCGCAUACCAUCGGAUUUGCCCAGAUGGGAUGAGCUAGUAGGUGGGGUAACGGCUCACCUAGGCGACGAUCCCUAGCUGGUCUGCGGGGAUGACCGGCACCACGGGAACUGAGAAACGGCCCAGACUCCUACGGGAGGCAGCAGGGGGGAAUAUUGCACAAGGGGCGCAAGCCGGAUGCAGCCAUGCCGCGUGUAUGAAGAAGGCCUUCGGGUUGUAAAGUCCUUUCAGCGAGGAGGCGUUACUCGCAGAAGAAGCACCGGCUAACUCCGUGCCAGCAGCCGCGGUAAUAC
rnacentral:rRNA from 1 species